ACUGAAGGAAGGAGGGUUUCUACCGCCACCGGGUUGACACGUUGGUUUUUAAAGGUUGAGAAGGGUGAGAAGUAAAUCAAACAUGGACAAGCAAUUGCUGUUUUAGCAAAAUGCAUAGAAAAAUACAUUACAUACUCAAAAAUCUGGAUGCAAGUCUACAGACCACCUAACGUUAUUUCUGGAAGACCUUUUCACAUUCAAUUCCAAAACCCCUCAAAAAAAAAAAAAUCAAAGAAUCAACAGGCCACGUUCUUUGAAGCCGUAAUUCUCUCCCCCAAGAGAGCAGCCAAACUCCCAGGACAAAACGACGGGAUUGUUUUACACAGUACUGCUAAGUUCCAAAAGACAAUCAGCCGUGAUUCCCUUUACUCCUUAAAGCUGCAUUUCCCCGAAACAGAAUACGCUGGGAAGCAGCACCCUGGGCUGCUCCAUCGUGCCUCACGAUGGGAGAAAGUCCCAAGCCUCCCGCUUCCAGCCUCAGCAUCUUUAGUCUUUGCUUUCUCCCAGUGUCCCCUCGGAUGCCUCCCCAAGGCGGGGUGCUGGUGAGCGUCUCCUUUAGCCACUGGGGGGUUGACCGCACACAUCUUUUCCCCAGCAUCGAGCGUCCCUUCCAGUGGGUGCACAAGGACUCGUGCUCGUCCCUGUGCGGGCCAAAAUGCUGUUCUUUGGGAGAAAACGGUGCCACGCUGAGAAGGUUGCUGAACAUCUAGGACUGCAGGUGUGGUCCAGGACCAUCACUCGGCACACCAAACCCAGAGCAUCUCGCCCAGAAACAGUGGGAACGUAACCAGAAGAGGGCUGUACUUGGACAAGGACACACUACAAUUUGCCACUAGGUGUCAUUCCAGCUUCAUUUUCAUUGUAUGAACAGAAGUACGGGAAACAAAAGCACUCCUCUACAGAGAUUUGCACCCCAGCUAAUAUCAAGACUGCAACUCAGCAAUGGCCUGGAACGUGCAUCUGUUACCUGCGUUCUCCCGGCUAAUUCAGAGGAAGCCUUCAAAAAAACCCCUGCGAGCCAAAUUGAGAACCGCCAUUAAGAGCCAAAGAAAGAGGUUUAAAAAUGAAACAAAAGAAAAGACAUUUCAGAGAGAUUUUAGCUUCUAAAAUCCCCAAGCAAGGCGCUCCUGAAAAGUGUAAACUCCUGAGACUUGAGAUAAACUGAGAUGCUCCUGUGGAAUAUAUACAAAGACAGAUGAUCGAGAUAAUUCACAGUGAAGAGCUUCUUAGCGGACAGAUUUAAGGCACCUGAACUACUCCUCAAAAUUACAGCACUUUGCCUGUCCUCCCCGCCAGACCCAGCUGAAAACGUGCCACAAUUGCAAGGAUAAAAGCACCCGAGGAAUUGUUCUUGAGCUGGACCCUGCAACGUAGCAUUUGGACCACGGCAGUUUUCCGGACAGAGUGAAAACGGAAAGAUCACCGAGGGCUCCAAGGGACACUUACUUGGAGGGAGCUCCGCUAGUCUCCCCUCUGCCCACGCAUGUAUUGUCUGGGUUCCUGCGAAUAGUGAAUAUAGAAGAAGAAGAGGGAUUGAGCCAAGGGUGUUAUAAUCAAAUGAUGGAAGGAAAGCCCAUAAAGAUUUUCCCCAUGUUUACAUUGAUUUUUCCAUGCAAACAAGAAAACACUGCGUUUGUAAAGAGAAUUAGAGUUCUUUUUCUAGAAAAGCCAAAGCCCCUUAUGGGAUGGACUUGGUCCUCUUUGGUGCAAUUCCCUAAUAACGGGAUGCCCGAGGACCACACCUCCAUACCACAAAGAGGCAGGCUGCAGCUAUCUCGUAAUGCUCAUGUACGUGAAGGAUCCUCCCUUCUGCCAAUUCUCCUCCCUGGUCAGAGAGUAUCGUCACAGAAAACCGACGCUGUCAGGAACCUAUAUAGCAACAUCUCGCUUCCCAAAACAUAUUCCACCCCAAACUCACCACGAAUGACAUCGCUUUGAACUUCUCCUGGUGAAAAAACAAUUGCUGAAGAGAGCAAUAAAGCAAAAACUGUCACAGAUGAGAAGAUUCUUGUUCUGCUUUGUGAAGGUGGAGAAACAAGCUUGGUCAGACCAGAGCUCAAUGUCCUGACCUCCUCUCCACCUUCAUUCCUCCCCCGCAAGGGAAAGCAUGAAGGAACAGCGUGGGUCGACACCUGCACAACAUCUGUGCAUUUUGAUGGUCUAGUGGUUAAAGGAAAGGGUCUCAGGUUCUAGAGGUCUUGGCUCAGUUCAUCAGUUUGACCUCCUCGCAUAGGCAAAAUACCUAUUUUAAGGGUAAACAUGCAAGAUAACCUGGGGAGGGCCAUGAAAGCACCCAGGAGGGAAAAGAGAUCCCAGUGCCUGGGUGUGAUGCUCCAAACAUGCAGAAGACAUGAGUGACGGCUCAAAACCAGAAGCCCUCCGAGAGGAGCAUCCUGCCAUCUCUUAACGUCCAGGGGAAGAACAAUUUUCCAGUCUUAGAGUGGUGGCCGCCUCUGAAGAGCUGUUUGCAGUAAUAUGAGGGGCACUGAACUGUUUAUGAAGCAAAACGUGGCAAGCUGCCUGUUUUGUCAGAAAUCACGUCUAGUUAAUAGUUUAUAGUAACGAACCAGGGAAGACUACGUGAGAAGGUAAACAGAAGCAGAAGAAACUUUUUUUUUUUGCAGUCCACAGAACUGAAAAAAACACUUUUUGGUAAUUCUGCGGUAUCCGUUAAUGCUGAUGGAAGAAAGACUGCACGUGAUAUGGUAGAAUGGCCAGAGAAAGGGCAGCCUGCAAAGGAUCCAGAGCUUUCAAAAUAUUAUGCAAAACCAUGCAAAGGAUUUAGAAUUCACCCCUGCUACACAUACUGGCUGCCCUCAGGUUUCCUCUGGUGUAUUCCCCACCGCACGCUUGGGCACAUCGAGCUGUGCUCACAGUGGUUACGGCCCAUCCCAGCUUUGGGGUGGAAAGCACAUCCCUAGAAAUUCCCUUUUUUUUUUCCUUAGCACAGAAAACUCAGUGUUCUCCCACUGAAGCUGCGCUGCUUUGCUGUUUGCUGACCAAGAGGGGCUGCGGCCAGCAGAGUUAGAGCUCCCUGGAGAUGUGACCAACCACUUAAAACCUUGCUGACACUAAAACACAGCAGCAGCACAGACAUCAAUCCUGGGCGGAAAGGCCAUGCUCGCCAGCCCCUUGAGCUUGCACAGCCCGAAUCUCCAGCCCAGAGCUAAGCAAACGCUUCCCAAGUGCACGGCAUGAAGCAAACCGUAUGGCUUCAUAUGAAAAGUUUCAAAAACCAGCAUUCUCCUUCACUGCAGAUCUUGUCUCUGCUACCACAAGAGGCCGAACCCACCCUGAGACUGUGCCAUCAGCCCCGCUUUGCUGCUCUUACUAGUUGGGAAGAACUCAGCAGGCUUGCACAAAGCUCAGCUGUACAGCCCCCACCUCCCCUGAGAGGUCCUUCACAAGAGGCCCCCGCAUCACCCAUCCAGGACGAGGAAACGUGAAAGGCAGCUUUGUCCUGUUGAAUUUAAGUCACACCUAACAGCUCUAAGGUGUUUGUGCAACGUCUCCAGGGCAUUAUCACUGCUGACACUCCAGGAUUGGACCUCCACGACUCAAGCCCCUACCCUGAUGGCUACGGAGCCAUUUGUGGCCACCCCGACAGCUCCCACCACCACUUCACUGUCCCAGAGCCGGGACAGCAAGACUGGGGCACAACAGGCAUGCAAAGUAGGGGAGCCCCAUAAAAUCCGCAGACAGGGAGCAAUACCUGGAACCACCGAAGUUUUGGUGAAGUGAUGAAGUUGGUAACGCUAGUCUGAAGGGCGCAAGACGUGUAACAGGUCACAGACAUGACAAGACCACGUCACAGCAAGAACAAACCCUGCAUGGUAGGCACUGGUCUUGUUGCAAAUAGCGGAAGGAUAAUUCAAGGGGGACAGCAAGGAACCCCCCAAAAACCUGCCUUGCCAAAGACAUCUCUCUGCAUACCAUGAAGUUCCUGCAGGACAAUGAUUCUCUUCCCACCCCUCCAUCAGGAGCGCCCACCCAGUCCGGAUCAAGGGAACCGGACUACAGCACCGGGCUCGCAGCACUUCAGCCCGGUUGCCAAUUUGCACGGCAGUUCUCGCACAGCUUGAGUAAACCCUUGAUGUCAUCAGGUGGAUGGCAGCCCUUGGGGGAAACCUCGCAGCUUCCCAGCCGUCACGCAAAACUGCUGUCUGGCAUCUCCUCAGCGCCGUACUGAGACGAGGAGCUGGUGGGCAGCACGCCGGUGAGUCAGAGCUAUCCUACUUCUAAACUGCAUGUGACUCAUACCAGCUUCACUGCAAAGGCACCACAGAGUCUGACUAAACCAGCUCAAAAUUUGUGUAUAUAUAAUUUUUAAAUACAUAUACACACCCACACGUGUACGUGCACACACAUACGUGCAUGUACAUACACAUAAAGUGAUUUUUUUUUUCAUAUGCAAGUGAGAGAAACUUAACGCUCUGGAAUUAA